AGAUGAAUGAGGUUGGACAAGUGAAUUACCCAGGGGUUUUUCUCUUUUGUGAAAUUUAAGUGAUGAUAAAACCUCGUUCAGAGGAAUGCUCCAAGAUUGAAAUGUGAUAAUCAAAAUGUAUAUCACUGUUUCUCUGAUGUUUUGCCAGCAGACUAGAUCACUGCUAUAAGCAGUGAAAUAUACAUUAGGGGAUUGAUGAAGAAAGAGCUGGUGCCUACUAAUGAUAGGACUGAAUAGACUGUAUUAGUUUUACUAUUUAGCUCCAUCAGAUUGAAUAGGAUUGGAAUCCAGUAUGGGAACAGUGAUCCUUUAUUGCAUGUGUCCAACAGGGGUUAGUUGACAAGAGAAGCUAUGAGGUUCUGAAGGGGUCAUGGCACAGGAUCAUAAGAACUUAGAACAGGACCCACGAUCCUCCAGGAAGCUGGAUUGUUCAGGUGAACUGGAACAUCCCAAAUGGGAACACACCUGGCUGAAGCUCCCAUUAACAUCAACUUUCACAGACCAUGGAGGAAAUUGAGGCAAUCUUUUGGAAAAAUCAAUCUAGACUCUUAGGUUUUGCUCUAGUUCUUCUUGACUAAGUGUGUGAAUAGUCUUUUGCCUGUAGAGUUUCUGGAACCACAGCUAAUUAAUUCUCAGCCAUUGAAUUAUACACCACACAGGUCUAUUAAUAUCCAUAGCAGCUAUAAUUCUGCUGUAUAUAAAAGAAUUUUCCACAACUUCUAAAAAUAUCUCCUCUGCAGCAAGUUUAACUGGUAGUUCCAUUUGUGAAGUAGAUCCUUAUCUAUUGAAUCGGAAAAGGCUGUGUCACGGAAGAGAAAGGAGUGCUUUUCUGAUAAUAGUCCCAAAGUAACAAUUUUAAGUUGGGACAUGGGAAAACUUCAGUACUGCUAGAAAUUCCCACUGUUGAAGUGAUUUUUGUGCUCUGAAGGAUGUGAUCUAUGGUGGUGAUACCGAUGGUAUACAGAGUCAUGUAGCAGCAACAAGAAAGUGGGUUGCAGUUCAUUUCUGUUUGUAAACAAUUCCCUCCAGGAGUUUAAAGAAAGGGCAGGAGUUUCUGAGUUCUGAUAUUUCCCUUGAGCAGCGCCGAUGAGCAGAUUUGUGUAGCUG
rnacentral:lncRNA from 1 species